AGGCUGCCCGUAAGUCUGCUCCCACAACUGGAGGAGUGAAGAAGCCUCACCGUUACUGCCCUGGAACUGUUGCUCUUCGUGAGAUCCGCAAGUACCAGAAGAGCACGGAGCUGCUCAUCAGGAAGCUUCCAUUCCAGAGGCUUGUUAGGGAGAUUGGCCAGGACUUCAAGACUGACCUCCGCUUCCAGAGCCAUGCGGUGC